rnacentral:rRNA from 1 species
UACGUAGGGUGCAAGCGUUGUCCGGAAUUAUUGGGCGUAAAGAGCUCGUAGGCGGUUUGUCGCGUCUGCUGUGAAAACUCGGGGCUUAACCCCGGGCCUGCAGUGGGUACGGGCAGACUAGAGUGCGGUAGGGGAGACUGGAAUUCCUGGUGUAGCGGUGAAAUGCGCAGAUAUCAGGAGGAACACCGGUGGCGAAGGCGGGUCUCUGGACCUGUCCUGACGCUCAGGCGCGAAAGCUAGGGGAGCAAACAGG